GGUUCUAUGGUGUAAUGGUUAGCACAUGAGGUUCUGAUCCUCAGGAUCUGGGUUCGAUUCCCAGUAGGACCU
rnacentral:tRNA from 1 species